rnacentral:rRNA from 1 species
UUGUAAAGCACUUUCAGUGGGGAGGAGGGUUGACAGGUUAAGAGCUGGUUGACUGGACGUUACCCACAGAAGAAGCACCGGCUAACUCCGUGC